rnacentral:lncRNA from 1 species
GCAACAACCUGAAAUAGAUUUUGCUUAAAAGCAAACUGCUGUGGUUGUUUUGUUCAGUAACUUGCAUUUCCGUGACUUCUGAAUUAUUACAGUAAGACAAGUGCCCUCACCAUCUAUACAUUGCACUUAAAGCAAGCAAACUGUAUGCAAUCCUUUUUUUUCAGUCAGCUGUGUUGCCCUGAUGUCUCUAUAUUCCAAUAAAACAGAUGCCCUAUCUAUGAAUUGCACUCAAAACAAGCAAGCUGUGUAAAGCCCUGUUGUAGCCCUCCUGCUACUCCACACUCCUUUGGAAAGUGAAGGAUUUCCUUGCAAUUUACUUGCUGCUUCCAGAUAACAUUGCAAAAGUCAUUAUUUUUGCUGUGCUGCUUCUAAUUUACAUCUUGCUAACUUAACAUGGGUGUUUGAAUGGGCUGAGGUUUUAGUGAAUUGGCUGUGCCAAUGAACUGCUGUACCUUAUUCUUUAGUCAUUAAUAAUAGUUUACUCUUCAGAAUGUUAAGAAUUAUCAGAUGGGUUCAUCGCUUAAUAACCUGAGUUGCUGUUUGCCACUUGGCACACUUCAUCCCUCACUUUGAUCUUUCUGUGACAGGAUAGAUUCUACCAUCCGUACUGUAAGAAGGACUUCUCUGAUUAACGGGAGCAACAGGACUAAUAAUAUAAAGGACCAAAUUUCCAUAAAAGGGUUAUGAAAUGCAAAUCAAAGUAUUAUCUUUACUUUUGCAGGAUGGGGCAGCCACAGCUUCUCUGGGCACCCUGUGCCAGCGCCUCAGCACCCUCACAGGGAAGAGCUUCUGCCUCAGAUCUAACCUGAAUCUCCCCUGUUUCAGUUUGAACCCAUCACCCCCUGUCCUAUCCCUACACAGAAAGGAUUUUAAGAACACAUGCUUAGUAGGGAUGUUCACGUAUGUAUUGAGCCUCUAUGAUUCUACACAUUAAAUACUACAUAUGCCCCUAAAUUGCUGCUGCCAAGGAUAAAUACUUCCUUCCCAUUCCUCAGAAUGGUCUUCUUUGAGUUUAGCACAUCUUGGAGCUGGAAGAAAACAGGCUGCUGAAAGGUUUCUACGUGAAGCAGCAGCAUAUCAGUGGAAUAUAACAAUCUGAGGCAGAGAAGGAAAGUGAGUGCAAUUCUACUUGUGAGAAGCAACAGGAGAUUAUAAAUAGCUCACUGAAGAGUACAGUUUCAGAAGAGGUGAAACUUGCUGCUGCACUCGGAGAUAAGGUUGAACUUGAGAACGGAAAAGUGUGACAUCCUCCUUGGAUACAGUUCUGGGAACAUCAGCAUGAAUUAAACAGUUUGUGACUGCUGGCUUCUUGCUUGACAUCCUCAGUCUCAUUUCCCAAAAAUACUGAUGCCUUUGGCUUUGAUACCUUGCAGGUGCCUGGAUUCACAGAAAAUCACUGCUGUUCAGUACAUUACUUACCAAUUGUUCUCACUUUGUCUUUAAGUGAUGCUCCUUCUAGUUUAAGAAAGAAGGCUGCAGUUUUGCUGCUGAAGAGGUGACGAAGGACAGAGAUGAAGGUACAAUUCCCAGUUUCACUACAGUGUUACAAUCCUUAAUGCUAGGUUUCCUGGCUGUUAAAUGAGCUGAUGCUUCCCUUGAAUUCCCUUUAUCUUUUGUCCCUGUUGAGACUUCCAGCCAUUUGAAGAAGGUAAUGUUGGUUGCACUUGUGGGCUGGCGGGACCCUAAGAUGGCUGUAAUAUCAAGAAUGCUACUUUCUGAAGCUCCAGCUUCAAUUUUCUCACUCCAAAGGGGUAUCACUUAGUGGUGCUCCAUCUUUCAGCUGAAGUGAGUGUAUUUUGCCCAUGCUCAUCCAUGUCUGUCAUCACUUGGAAUUUGCCUGUAUGUCCGCUGGUAGAAACCAUGAUGAUCCCAAACAGCAUUUCUGGCUCAGUCAGUCACUUAAAGAUAUUGUAUAAAAGGUGUUUCACAACAUUGUCAAGAGUUUUAAUGAUACAUUCAAAAUUCAGCUACUAGGCUAAGCUAGUUUAUGGUAAAAUAGACUAGAUAUUUCAAAUAAGAAAUGAGCCUCUAAUCUCAAUACAACUGUUUGUAGCCUUUGCAGACUAAGAUACAUUAACGUGAAUUUGCCUCAGUAGCUAAAGAAACUUUUCAGCUUGAAAAAACCCAAAAAUCUUAAGCAAGAUUUUCUCUGAAUGAUUAUGUUAGCAGCAUCUGCUUUGCAAAGUAACAUAUAUUUAUGGGAAACUUUAAUACAUGGGGAAAUAGUUACAAACUAUUCUUGCACAAUACUGUAGCUCACCUUACUGCAAGCCCUGUCAGAGACUAUGUGUGUAAAUUCCUCAUGGUACUGUGAAAACACAAAUAGAAGCUAGCCUAAGUCUUUUAAAUGGAUCUGGUUCAUGUUACCCUUAAAUAAAAAAUCACUCCCA